rnacentral:rRNA from 1 species
GACCGCAAAGAGUUCACAUUCGGAAGGAAUUUUACGGGGACCCGCACAAGCGGCGGUGCAUGGGGAUUCAUUCGAUGCGAGGCGCAGAACCUUACCAAGGAUUGACAUAUACGAGCCACGGGCCAGAUUUGGUCAACUCGUUGGACAAUCGUGAACAGGUGUGCCAUGGUUGUCGUCAGCUCGGGGUCGUGAGAUGUUGGAUUAAGUCCCGCCACGAGGCAACCCUCGUUGUAUGUCGACAACACGUAAUGUUGGGAUUCAUGGGAUACAUCCAGGGGUCAACCUCGGAGGAAGGUGGGGAUGACGUCACAUCAUCAUGCCCCUUAUGUGUUGGGCUUCCACGCAUGCUACAAUGGCUCGGUACGAAGGGCUGCAAUACCGGCGAGGUGGAGGGAAUCACCAAAAACCGUUCCCAGUUCGGAUAGAGGUCUGCAACUAGACCUCGUGGAGUCGGAGUCGGUAGUGAUCCCAGAUCAGCAACGCUCCGGUGGAUACGUUACCGGGUCUUGUACACCCCGCCCGUCAAGUCAUGAAAGUCUGGUAACACACUGAAAGCCGGU